rnacentral:rRNA from 1 species
UGGGGAAUCUUGGACAAUGGGGGCAACCCUGAUCCAGCCAUGCCGCGUGAGUGAUGAAGGCCUUAGGGUCGUAAAGCUCUUUCGCCUGUGAAGAUAAUGACGGUAGCAGGUAAAGAAACCCCGCUAACUCCGUGCCAGCAGCCGCGGUAAUACGGAGGGGGUUAGCGUUGUUCGGAAUUACUGGGCGUAAAGCGCACGUAGGCGGACCAGAAAGUUGGGGGUGAAAUCCCGGGGGCUCAACCCCGGAACUGCCUCCAAAACUAUUGGUCUAGAGUUCGAGAGAGGUGAGUGGAAUUCCAAGUGUAGAGGUGAAAUUCGUAGAUAUUUGGAGGAACACCAGUGGCGAAGGCGGCUCACUGGCUCGAUACUGACGCUGAGGUGCGAAAGUGUGGGGAGCAAACAGGAUUAGAUACCCUGGUAGUCCACACCGUAAAACGAUGAAUGCCAGUCGUCGGGUAGCAUGCUAUUCGGUGACACACCUAACGGAUUAAGCAUUCCGCCUGGGGAGUACGGUCGCAAGAUUAAAACCUCAAAGG